UACGUAGGUGGCAAGCGUUGUCCGGAAUUAUUGGGCGUAAAGCGCGCGCAGGCGGUCCUUUAAGUCUGAUGUGAAAGCCCACGGCUCAACCUCGAGACGCCGAUGGAAACCGUUUGGCUAGAGUCCGGAAGAGGAGAGUGGAAUUCCUGGUGUAGCGGUGAAAUGCGCAGAUAUCAGGAAGAACACCCGUGGCUAAGGCGGCUCUCUAGUACGGUACUGACGCUGAGACGCGAAAGCGUGGGGAGCGAACAGG
rnacentral:rRNA from 1 species